rnacentral:rRNA from 1 species
CAGUCGCCACGGUAAUACGUAGGUGGCAAGCGUAGUCCGGAAUUAUUGGGCGUAAAGGGCUCGCAGGCGGUUUCUUAAGUCUGAUGUGAAAGCCCCCGGCUCAACCGGGGAGGGUCAUUGGAAACUGGGGAACUUGAGUGCAGAAGAGGAGAGUGGAAUUCCAUGUGUAGCGGUGAAAUGCGUAGAUAUAUGGAGGAACACCAGUGGCGAAGGCGACUCUCUGGUCUGUAACUGACGCUGAGGCACGAAAGUGUGGGUAGCAAACAGGAUUAGAUACCCCUGUAGUCCCUGUCUCUUAUAA